rnacentral:rRNA from 1 species
AACGAACGCUGGCGGCAGGCUUAACACAUGCAAGUCGAACGCCCCGCAAGGGGAGUGGCAGCCGGGUGAGUAACGCGUGGGAAUCUACCCAUCCCUACGGAAUAACGCAUGGAAACGUGUGCUAAUACCGUAUACGCCCUACGGGGGAAAGAUUUAUCGGGGAUGGAUGAGCCCGCGUUGGAUUAGCUAGUUGGUGGGGUAAAGGCCUACCAAGGCGACGAUCCAUAGCUGGUCUGAGAGGAUGAUCAGCCACAUUGGGACUGAGACACGGCCCAAACUCCUACGGGAGGCAGCAGUGGGGAAUAUUGGACAAUGGGCGCAAGCCUGAUCCAGCCAUGCCGCGUGAGUGAUGAAGGCCUUAGGGUUGUAAAGCUCUUUCACCGGAGAAGAUAAUGACGGUAGCCGGAGAAGAAGCCCCGGCUAACUUCGUG